UGAAGUGAUUGUAGGGCGCAAUCACGUUAAUCUAAAGAAAGCCCUAUUUUU
rnacentral:ncRNA from 1 species